rnacentral:rRNA from 1 species
UUUCCCUCAAGAUAAAUGGAGCUUGCGUGUGAGUUCUAUCAGGUAAAGCAAAUGAUUAGAGGCCUUGAGGGUGCAACACCCUCGACCUAUUCUCAAACUUUAAAUAAGUAGGAUUGUGUCACUGCACAUAUCCUUGAACAAAGUAAAAACUCGGGGGUUCCA